rnacentral:rRNA from 1 species
GAUGAACGCUGGCGGCGUGCCUAAUACAUGCAAGUCGAGCGAACAGAUGAGGAGCUUGCUCCUCUGACGUUAGCGGCGGACGGGUGAGUAACACGUGGAUAACCUACCUAUAAGACUGGGAUAACUUCGGGAAACCGGAGCUAAUACCGGAUAAUAUAUUGAACCGCAUGGUUCAAUAGUGAAAGACGGUUUUGCUGUCACUUAUAGAUGGAUCCGCGCCGCAUUAGCUAGUUGGUAAGGUAACGGCUUACCAAGGCAACGAUGCGUAGCCGACCUGAGAGGGUGAUCGGCCACACUGGAACUGAGACACGGUCCAGACUCCUACGGGAGGCAGCAGUAGGGAAUCUUCCGCAAUGGGCGAAAGCCUGACGGAGCAACGCCGCGUGAGUGAUGAAGGUCUUCGGAUCGUAAAACUCUGUUAUUAGGGAAGAACAAAUGUGCAAGUAACUAUGCACGUCUUGACGGUACCUAAUCAGAAAGCCACUGCUAACUACGUG